rnacentral:lncRNA from 10 species
AACAGCAAGCUCUACCAAAGCAAGGUCUCCUCUGCUUCCUCAGACUGCCGACCAGUGCUGAGAACAGGGACACUGAAUAUCUGUGAGCUGAGCGCAUCCAGCCAUCAACUGACUCACUCACUGAAGAACGCUACAUUCUGGGCAUAUCUUCCAUGACAGUCCAGCAGGGUAGCUGUUGGAAAUCCAAACAUGUCCACUCCUGCUUACGACCUCAGUCACCACCUCUUCAUAUGAUUCUUCCAUGGGCUGUUCCUGAGCACCUGAGGGAGAAAAACAAACAGAAACAAACAGGAAAGGGCAGAAUAAUUGAUAUGUGAGAAGGAAAAAGUCAACAGUUGUUGAGACAUAAGUGAAUGCUGGAGUACAGUGACUCAAUUACAGCUUGCUGUGACUUUGAACUCCUGGACUCAACGGAUCCUCCCACUUCAGCCUCCCAAAUAACUAGGACUACAGGACCUGGUUCUUCUUGACAACUGCACAUUCUGCUACAUGCUGUGAUGACCAGGAGAAUCAUUUAAAUUUUUAUUUGGAGGACUCACUUCCAACUUGGAACACAAGCUGCAAAGGAAUUCCCUACCAGCAUGCCAGCACAUCAUUUGGAAGUUCAAGGUAUUCUUGCUCAACAGCUGCACACACAUUAAAAGUCCCUGGGGUACAUGGCGCCUGCUGCCUGGGGUUGGACUCUGUCGCCGGGGAUUCCAGAAAUUAGAGUAGAAUUCACAGCUCUGCCUCUCCACCUGCUGUGAGGUCUUCAAGUUACAACUCCGCCGCCUAUCAGGGACCUCCGUGAUUAGUAAGGGAGAAAUUGUCAUAUUUUUCUCCCUAGAUCACAGGUCUGAGGAAGCAGUUUCCCCAAGAUUUUGUAAAAGUGGCUUUAUAAUUAAAAACAUUGAUUUUCCUAUUAG